AUAUCGGAACAUGUCCGGAAGUGGGGGAUAACGUAGCGAAAGUUACGCUAAUACCGCAUAUGCCCUGAGGGGGAAAGGGGGGGAUCGCAAGGCCUCUCGCUUUCGGAGUGGCCGAUAUCGGAUUAGCUAGUUGGUGAGGUAAAGGCUCACCAAGGCGACGAUCCGUAGCUGGUCUGAGAGGACGACCAGCCACACUGGAACUGAGACACGGUCCAGACUCCUACGGGAGGCAGCAGUGGGGAAUUUUGGACAAUGGGCGCAAGCCUGAUCCAGCCAUACCGCGUGAGUGAAGAAGGCCUUCGGGUUGUAAAGCUCUUUCAGCCGGAAAGAAAUUGCUUCUAUUAAUACUAGGAGUAGAUGACGGUACCGGAAGAAGAAGCACCGGCUAACUACGUGCCAGCAGCCGCGGUAAUACGUAGGGUGCGAGCGUUAAUCGGAAUUACUGGGCGUAAAGCGUGCGCAGGCGGUUUGGUAAGACAGACGUGAAAUCCCCGGGCUUAACCUGGGAACUGCGUUUGUGACUGUCAGACUAGAGUGUAGCAGAGGGGGGUAGAAUUCCACGUGUAGCAGUGAAAUGCGUAGAUAUGUGGAGGAAUACCAAUGGCGAAGGCAGCCCCCUGGGUUAACACUGACGCUCAUGCACGAAAGCGUGGGGAGCAAACAGGAUUAGAUACCCUGGUAGUCCACGCCCUAAACGAUGUCAACUAGGUGUUGGGGAAGGAGACUUCUUUAGUACCGCAGCUAACGCGUGAAGUUGACCGCCUGGGGAGUACGGUCGCAAGAUUAAAACUCAAAGGAAUUGACGGGGACCCGCACAAGCGGUGGAUUAUGUGGAUUAAUUCGAUGCAACGCGAAAAACCUUACCUACCCUUGACAUGUCAGGAAGUUUCCAGAG
rnacentral:rRNA from 1 species